CUUGAGUUUAAGUUUGAUUUUAAUUUUUAGUUUUAAUUUUAAUUUUAAUUUUAAUUCAAAAAAUAAGAGAAGAUUUUUGGAAACGUGCUUGAAAUCUUAGAAGAUUGGGGAAGCAUCUUGGCAUUCAAUUCAGAAAUCACAUUUUGGUAAAAAGGAAACUAAAUCACAGGGAAAAGAUGGUACGAAUCAAAUCAGCUUUGUCAUUCAAUAGGAAUCCUUGAAAUUCCUGCAAAAGAAUGAUAUAUAUUAAAUCAAUCGGUCAAAGAGACAAAGAAAUCAUACAAAAAACAACCAUAAGGAAUUCAAACCAGAAACAUGGAUCAACAGAAAGGAAGCAAUACAAACUAAUCAAUUUCUAGAAGAAGCAACCGAGAAAAUUUCCAAAGCAAUCAACAACAGAAAGUCCAAUUUUCCCAUACAGCAGCAUUCACUCAAUAGCAGCUUCAACCGUGCAAAAUCAAAAGGAACAAGGCGUAUUCAAGCAAUUUUUCACACCAUUUGGUCACACCACCUCUAUCCAUACACUUCUCCAAAAUCAAAAUCCCUAGCAGUUAGCCUCAACACAGACAAUCAAUUCACCAAAGCCAAAACCCAGACAAACUCCUACCCAAAACCUAACCCAUUCACAAAUUUAGCAGCAAAUUCAAACUGUAAAAAUAAUCCACAAUUUACCCACAAUCAAUAGACACAUAAAUAGUAGAAAGUAUAAACACAAACUUCUUUCAAGUUUCAAGUUUAGUCUGCUUUAAAUGGUGGUAGAAUCUGAUCCAAACAAAAAAAGAGGAAAGUUAAAAAAAACAUUGGCAGAAAACGAAAAGAGUUUAGAGGAUUUUUGGUGGCUCGACUACAGUGGCAACAAUCUUCAAUUAGUUUCUGGGCUAUUGAUUGAAAUCUAAGGAGAAGAGAAAGUCAAGGGGAUAGACGAAAGAGAAGGAAUCGAGGCAUGCUUUUUGGGUUUCUGAAGAAGACCGAUGGUAGUUGUUAGUGACAAAAGGCAGCGAAUGAGCUUCGUGGCUUGUAAUAGGCGGAGGCCAUGAUGGCUUCAAUUGGGAUCUGUUGGGUUGUUUCCCUGGUUAUUGGAGAAGGAAGAAUAAAGAGAUGGAUGAAUUAUGCUGUUUUAAGUGUUUGAAGCCUAAUCCAUAGGCUACCAUUUUGGGAAGUUAAGGGAACCAGGUUUGACCCACUUCUGGUGACCGGGUUUGGAUCCAGUCCAACCAAAG
rnacentral:lncRNA from 1 species